rnacentral:tRNA from 2 species
CGCUCGUAGCUCAGCUGGAUAGAGUACCUGGCUACGAACCAGGCGGUCAGAGGUUCGAAUCCUCUCGAGCG